AUGUCCAGUUUGCACAAGGUUUACUGCCCAGUUGGCUGCAUCAUUGUAGUAGUUGGUUGUCCACAUCUUUCUAACUAUGUUUUUUGUUGUAUUUCCUGCCGCGGGGCAAAAAUGGUUAUAAUAGGAGGAGAUGCGGAUGGCAAUGAAGGAGAUCGUUCUGGAAGUCAGCCGCUUCGCCGGAACUCGAAGCGUCCUGCUAAUCACCAGCCACGACCUACGCGGAGUGUUGAGCAGGGAGAGGAUGUUGAGGACGCUGAUCAGUUCCGUGUUGUAAAGCGGACUAGACGUGCAACACUUGGUAAGGGAGCUGAGUCAUCUUCUAGGGCAACAGUUGCUGGAGAAGCUGUCGCAUCUUCCGCAGCAGAUGCUGAGGCCAGCGGUGAAGGAGUUGAGGUGGCUGCAGGGGAAAAUGUGGAGCGACCAUCACAAGCAGGCAGGAUAAGGGCAUCACCAGCACGGUUUGCAAAUUUCAACGCCUCUCUAUCCCCACCACAGAAGUCAGAGCUAGUUUCGAGGUUGUUUGGGGGGCUAUUGAACUUAUCAGACACACUUCCAGCGGACCUCACUAAGUUCCUAGUGCGGUCCUACCAGCCACAGACCUCUGAAAUGGUUUUCCCAGGAAGGGGAAGGAUCCGUGUCGAUGCUGACAGUGUUCAGAGGGUCACUACAUGGCUCAAGAUGAUUCAGGAUAUGGCUGGAAGAACGGAUGACACAUUCUUUAUGGCCUGGCUUGCGGUUGCCUUCAGCACUUUUCUAGCACCAACCAUGGCCUUGAAGCUCAGCCCAAAGUGUUAUGGACUUGUGCUAGAUCAUCAAAUGCUAAAGAAUACAAACAUCUGCCUCUUUGUAGCAGAACACAUUAACGAAGCUUUCCGGAACAUGGACCAGGAGAAGCAAACUGUCUGCUGCUGCUUGUAUCACUUGAUGAUACUAUACCUUGAUGCACUCGUACAUGACAUCCCAGUAAGCAACUGCGCGAUACGAUCGAAUGCAUGGGAUAGUACUCUAAUUGCCAAUGUGAUCAAGAAGGAUACUAUCUCUCCUGGUGUGUUCGGCAAAUUACAAAGGAGUAUAGAGGCACGGAGCAGACACCACUGUUUGGUGGAAUUUUGCAAGCUAAAGCAUUCGUGGCAUCCAAGUUACCAAUAA
rnacentral:rRNA from 1 species